rnacentral:rRNA from 1 species
UACGUAGGGGGCAAGCGUUGUCCGGAUUUAUUGGGCGUAAAGAGCGUGUAGGCGGCCUGGAAGGUCAGCUGUGAAAACUCGAGGCUCAACCUCGAGACGUCGGUUGAAACCACCUGGCUAGAGUCCGGAAGAGGAGAGUGGAAUUCCCGGUGUAGCGGUGAAAUGCGCAGAUAUCGGGAAGAACACCCGUGGCGAAGGCGGCUCUCUGGGACGGUACUGACGCUGAGACGCGAAAGCGGUGGGGAGCGAACAGG